AUGAACGCUGGCGGCGUGCCUAAUACAUGCCAGUCGAGCGAACAGACGAGGAGCUUGCUCCUCUGACGUUAGCGGCGGACGGGUGAGUAACACGUGGAUAACCUACCUAUAAGACUGGGAUAACUUCGGGAAACCGGAGCUAAUACCGGAUAAUAUAUUGAACCGCAUGGUUCAAUAGUGAAAGACGGUUUUGCUGUCACUUAUAGAUGGAUCCGCGCCGCAUUAGCUAGUUGGUAAGGUAACGGCUUACCAAGGCAACGAUGCGUAGCCGACCUGAGAGGGUGAUCGGCCACACUGGAACUGAGACACGGUCCAGACUCCUACGGGAGGCAGCAGUAGGGAAUCUUCCGCAAUGGGCGAAAGCUUGACGGAGAACGCCGCGUGAGUGAUGAAGGUCUUCGGAUCGUAAAACUCUGUUAUUAGGGAAGAACAAAUGUGUAAGUAACUAUGCACGUCUUGACGGUACCUAAUCAGAAAGCCACGGCUAACUACGUG
rnacentral:rRNA from 1 species